rnacentral:rRNA from 1 species
UGGGGAAUAUUGGACAAUGGGCGCAAGCGUGAUCCAGCCAUGCCGCGUGUGUGAAGAAGGUCUUCGGGUUGUAAAGCACUUUUAGCGGGGAGGAAGGGCUGUAAGUUAAUACCUCGUGGUUUUGACGUUACUCGCAGAAUAAGCACCGGGUAAAUCUGUGCCAGCAGCCGCGGUAAUACAGAGGGUGCAAGCGUUAUUCUGAAUUAUUGGGGGUAAAGCGCGCGUAGGGGGUUUUUUAAGUCUGAUGUGAAAGCCCCGGGCUCAACCCGGGAACUGCAUUUGAAACUGGCAAGCUAGAGUAUGGUAGAGGAGGGUGGAAGACCACUGUAGCGGUGAAAUGCGUAGAGA